UACGGGAGGCAGCAGUGGGGAAUAUUGCACAAUGGGCGAAAGCCUGAUGCAGCUAUGCCGCGUGUAUGAAGAAGGCCUUAGGGUUGUAAAGUACUUUCAUCGGGGAAGAAAAAACAAAACUAAUAAUUUUAUUUCUUGACGUUACCCGAAAAAGAAGCACCGGCUAACUCCGUGCCAGCAGCCGCGGUAAUACGGAGGGUGCUAGCGUUAAUCAGAAUUACUGGGCGUAAAGAGCACGUAGGUGGUUUUUUUAAAGUCAGAUGUGAAAUCCCUGGGCUUAACCUAGGAACUGCAUUUUGAAACUGAAAUACUAGAGUAUCGUAGAGGGAGGUAGAAUUCUAGGUGUAGCGGUGAAAUGCGUAGAUAUCUGGAGGAAUACCUGUGGCGAAAGCGGCCUCCUAAACGAAUACUGACACUGAGGGUGCGAAAGCGUGGGGAGCAAACAGGGAUUAGAUAC
rnacentral:rRNA from 1 species